CCUACGGGGGGCAGCAGUGGGGAAUAUUGGACAAUGGGGGCAACCCUGAUCCAGCCAUGCCGCGUGUGUGAAGAAGGCCCUCGGGUUGUAAAGCACUUUCAGUGAGGAAGAACGCCUGGUGGUUAAUACCCAUCAGGAAAGACAUCACUCACAGAAGAAGCACCGGCUAACUCCGUGCCAGCAGCCGCGGUAAUACGGAGGGUGCGAGCGUUAAUCGGAAUUACUGGGCGUAAAGCGCGCGUAGGUGGCUUGAUAAGCCGGUUGCGAAAGCCCCGGGCUCAACCUGGGAACGGCAUCCGGAACUGUCAAGCUAGAGUGCAGGAGAGGAAGGUAGAAUUCCCGGUGUAGCGGUGAAAUGCGUAGAGAUCGGGAGGAAUACCAGUGGCGAAGGCGGCCUUCUGGACUGACACUGACACUGAGGUGCGAAAGCGUGGGUAGCAAACAGGAUUAGAUACCCCGGUAGUC
rnacentral:rRNA from 1 species